rnacentral:rRNA from 1 species
UACGUAGGGGGCUAGCGUUGUCCGGAUUUAUUGGGCGUAAAGAGCGUGUAGGCGGCCAGGUAGGUCUGGUGUGAAAACUCGAGGCUUAACCUUGAGAUGUCAUCGGAAACCAUUUGGCUAGAGUCCGGAAGAGGAAAGUGGAAUUCCUGGUGUAGCGGUGAAAUGCGCAGAUAUCAGGAAGAACACCAAUGGCGAAAGCAGCUUUCUGGGACGGUACUGACGUUGAGACGCGAAAGCGUGGGGAGCGAACAGG